rnacentral:lncRNA from 1 species
UAUUAUCUUCUUCAAAAAUACACUUUACAUUGUAAUGUGGAUCUUAUUUAUAGGACCUAAGGGAGAUGGAAAAUCACAGUUAUUAAUAGGGAAUAAGAAGAUGAAAAGAAGAAUACGGAUGAACAUCCACUUUUAUCUUUGUUCAUAACACUCUCCAUUGGAUGUCCAUUGAGGAUAUGCCUCGUUAAAAUCUUACUAAAAAAAUUCACUGAGAAAAAAUCUAGUGAAAAAAAAG